rnacentral:rRNA from 1 species
UACGUAGGGUGCAAGCGUUAAUCGGAAUUACUGGGCGUAAAGGGCUCGUAGGCGGUUUGUCGCGUCGGGAGUGAAAACACCGGGCUUAACUCGGUGCUUGCUUCCGAUACGGGCAGACUAGAGGUAUUCAGGGGAGAACGGAAUUCCUGGUGUAGCGGUGAAAUGCGCAGAUAUCAGGAGGAACACCGGUGGCGAAGGCGGUUCUCUGGGAAUUACCUGACGCUGAGGAGCGAAAGUGUGGGGAGCGAACAGG